ACUCCUACGGGAGGCAGCAGUAGGGAAUCUUCCACAAUGGGCGCAAGCCUGAUGGAGCAACACCGCGUGAGUGAAGAAGGGUUUCGGCUCGUAAAGCUCUGUUGUUAAAGAAGAACACGUAUGAGAGUAACUGUUCAUACGUUGACGGUAUUUAACCAGAAAGUCACGGCUAACUACGUGCCAGCAGCCGAGGUAAUACGUAGGUGGCAAGCGUUAUCCGGAUUUAUUGGGCGUAAAGAGAGUGCAGGCGGUUUUCUAAGUCUGAUGUGAAAGCCUUCGGCUUAACCGGAGAAGUGCAUCGGAAACUGGAUAACUUGAGUGCAGAAGAGGGUAGUGGAACUCCAUGUGUAGCGGUGGAAUGCGUAGAUAUAUGGAAGAACACCAGUGGCGAAGGCGGCUACCUGGUCUGCAACUGACGCUGAGACUCGAAAGCAUGGGUAGCGAACAGGAUUAGAUACCCUGGUAGGAUAGCG
rnacentral:rRNA from 1 species